rnacentral:rRNA from 1 species
CGCAGCCGCGGUAAUUCCAGCUCCAAUAGCGUAUAUUAAAGUUGUUGCAGUUAAAAAGCUCGUAGUUGAAUUUCGGGGUCAGUAGGUUGGUCAUGCCACUGGUAUGUACUGGUCUCACUGAUUCCUCCUUCCUGAUGGGCCGUAAUGCCAUUAACUUGGUGUUGCGAGGGAAUCUGGACUGUUACUUUAGAAAAAAUUAGAGUAGUUUAAAGCAGGCUAACGCUUAGAAUACAUUAGCAUGGAAUAAUGAAAUAGGACGUUCGAUCCUAUUUUGUUGGUUUCUAGGAUUGACGUAAUGAUUAAUAGGGAUAGGUUGGGGGCAUUAGUAUUCAAUUGUCAGAGGUAGAAAUUCUUGGAUUUAUUGAAGACUAACUACUGCGAAAGCAUUUGCCAAGGAUUGUUUCAUUAAUCAAGAACGAAAGUUAGGGGAUCGAAGACGAUCAGAUACCGUCGUAGUCUUAACCAUAAACUAUGCCGACUAGGGAUCGGAUGAUGUUUAAUUUUUUANGUACUCUA